rnacentral:rRNA from 1 species
GAUGAACGCUAGCGGCAGGCUUAACACAUGCAAGUCGAGGGGUAGAAGUUGCUUGCAACUUUGAGACCGGCGCACGGGUGCGUAACGCGUAUGCAAUCUACCUUAUACAGAGGGAUAGCCCAGAGAAAUUUGGAUUAAUACCUCAUAGUAUAAUUGAAUGGCAUCAUUUAAUUAUUAAAGUUCCAACGGUAUAAGAUGAGCAUGCGUCCUAUUAGCUAGAUGGUAAGGGAACGGCUUACCAGGGCAACGGUAGGUCGGGGUCCUGAGAGGGAAGUCCCCCACACAGUGACUGAGACACGGACCAGACGCCUUCGGGAGGCAGCAGUGAGGAAUAGUGGACGAUGAGCGCAAGCCUGAUCCAGCCAUGCCGCGUGCAGGAAGAAUCAUCUAUGGUGUGUAAACUGCUUUUGUACGGGAAGAAACACUCCUUCGUGAAGGAGCUUGGCGGUACCGUAAGAAUAAAGAUCGGCUAACUCCGUGCCAGCCGCCGCAGUAAGAC